GGUUAAGCGACUAAGCGUACACGGUGGAUGCCCUGGCAGUCAGAGGCGAUGAAGGACGUGCUAAUCUGCGAAAAGCGUCGGUAAGGUGAUAUGAACCGUUAUAACCGGCGAUGUCCGAAUGGGGAAACCCAGUGCAAUUCGUUGCACUAUCGUUAACUGAAUACAUAGGUUAACGAGGCGAACCGGGGGAACUGAAACAUCUAAGUACCCCGAGGAAAAGAAAUCAACCGAGAUUCCCCCAGUAGCGGCGAGCGAACGGGGAGCAGCCCAGAGUCUGAAUCAGCUUGUGUGUUAGUGGAACGGUCUGGAAAGUCCGACGGUACAGGGUGAUAGUCCCGUACACCAAAAUGCACAGGCUGUGAACUCGAAGAGUAGGGCGGGACACGUGGUAUCCUGUCUGAAUAUGGGGGGACCAUCCUCCAAGGCUAAAUACUCCUGACUGACCGAUAGUGAACCAGUACCGUGAGGGAAAGGCGAAAAGAACCCCGGCGAGGGGAGUGAAAAAGAACCUGAAACCGUGUACGUACAAGCAGUGGGAGCACCUUCGGGUGUGACUGCGUACCUUUUGUAUAAUGGGUCAGCGACUUAUAUUCUGUAGCAAGGUUAACCGUAUAGGGGAGCCGCAGGGAAACCGAGUCUUAACUGGGCGUUAAGUUGCAGGGUAUAGACCCGAAACCCGGUGAUCUAGCCAUGGGCAGGUUGAAGGUUGGGUAACACUAACUGGAGGACCGAACCGACUAAUGUUGAAAAAU
rnacentral:rRNA from 1 species